rnacentral:rRNA from 1 species
UACGUAGGAUGCAAGCGUUGUCCGGAAUUAUUGGGCGUAAAGAGCGAGCAGGCGGUUUGGAAAGUUGGACGUGAAAUUUUAGGGCUUAACCCUAAAGGGUCGUCCAAAACUCCCAGACUAGAGUGCAGGAGAGGAAAGCGGAAUUCCCGGUGUAGUGGUGAAAUGCGUAGAUAUCGGGAGGAACACCAGUGGCGAAGGCGGCUACCUGGCCCACUCUUGACGCUGAGGCGCGAAAGCUAGGGGAGCAAACGGG